rnacentral:rRNA from 1 species
CACCACCGGCGGACGGCUCAGUAACACGUCGGUAACCUACCCUCGGGAGGGGGAUAACCCCGGGAAACUGGGGCUAAUCCCCCAUAGGCCUGAGGUACUGGAAGGUCCUCAGGCCGGAAGGGGCUUUUGCCCGCCCGAGGAUGGGCCGGCGGCCGAUUAGGUAGUUGGUGGGGUAACGGCCCACCAAGCCGAAGAUCGGUACGGGCUGUGAGAGCAGGAGCCCGGAGAUGGACACUGAGACACGGGUCCAGGCCCUACGGGGCGCAGCAGGCGCGAAACCUCCGCAAUGCGGGAAACCGCGACGGGGGGACCCCGAGUGCCGUGGCACCGCCACGGCUUUUCCGGAGUGUAAAAAGCUCCGGGAAUAAGGGCUGGGCAAGGCCGGUGGCAGCCGCCGCGGUAAUACCGGCGGCCCGAGUGGUGGCCGCUAUUAUUGGGCCUAAAGCGUCCGUAGCCGGGCCCGUAAGUCCCUGGCGAAAUCCCACGGCUCAACCGUGGGGCUUGCUGGGGAUACUGCGGGCCUUGGGACCGGGAGAGGCGGGGGGUACCCCUGGGGUAGGGGUGAAAUCCUAUAAUCCCAGGGGGACCGCCAGUGGCGAA